GACCCACUGGGUGUAAGGUCCCUGGUGAAUGCACUAAUCUCAAGGUUUGAAACCCUGGAGGCUCACACUCUAGGAACAGAGGUGAACUAGAGAUGUGAAUACAGAGAGAAAACUGGCCUAGCAGAGCCUGUUUACCAGUAGAAGUGCCUGGGCCUUUGGCUGAGAAGAAGCCUCGAGGACAUUAUUAAAGACACCUCUACAUGGAAACCAACCAGAUGGACAGUAGAAGUGAUAACUGCAGAGAUGACCAAGAAUCCUUUAU